GGAGAAUCUUCUUUAAGAGGUUUCCACGAUGGACAAGAAGCAGAGAAAUCCAUCUCUUCUGACGCUGUACUCCGUCCUGAAGGACUUCAGGGCGGAAUAUACGGAUUUUGAGGCCCUCGCUUCUUAUUAUGAACAUCACUAUCGGGUCGAAUUC